GCAGAGAAUAGGCCCAAGCGACUGUUUACCAAAAACAUAGGUUUCUGCUAAGUCGCAAGACGAUGUAUAGGAGCUGACGCCUGCCCGGUGCUGGAAGGUUAAGGGGAUCUGUUAGAGCAAUCGAAGCAGUGAACUUAAGCCCCAGUAAACGGCGGCCGUAACUAUAACGGUCCUAAGGUAGCGAAAUUCCUUGUCGGGUAAGUUCCGACCCGCACGAAAGGCGUAACGAUUUGGGCACUGUCUCAACAACAGACUCGGUGAAAUUGUAAUUCCGGUGAAGAUGCCGGAUACCUGCGACAGGACGGAAAGACCCCAUGGAGCUUUACUGUAGCUUGACAUUGGGUCUUGGUACUACAUGUACAGGAUAGGUGGGAGGCUUUGAAACCAGGACGCCAGUUUUGGCGGAGCCAUCCUUGGGAUACCACCCUUGUAGUACUGGGACUCUAACCAUAGGCCAUGAAUCUGGUCUUGGGACACUGUCAGGUGGGCAGUUUGACUGGGGCGGUCGCCUCCCAAAAGGUAACGGAGGCGCUCAAAGGUUCUCUCAGUACGGUCGGAAAUCGUACGUAGAGUGUAAAGGCAAAAGAGAGCUUGAUUGCAAGACAUACAGGUCGAGCAAGGAUGAAAAUCGGACUUAGUGAUCCGGUGGUUCUGCGUGGAAGGGCCAUCGCUCAACGGAUAAAAGCUACCCUGGGGAUAACAGGCUUAUCUCCCCCAAGAGUCCACAUCGACGGGGAGGUUUGGCACCUCGAUGUCGGCUCAUCACAUCCUGGGGCUGUAGUAGGUCCCAAGGGUUGGGCUGUUCGCCCAUUAAAGUGGUACGCGAGCUGGGUUCAGAACGUCGUGAGACAGUUCGGUCCCUAUCCGUCGCAGGCGUAGGAAAUUUGAGAAGACCUGUCCUUAGUACGAGAGGACCGGGAUGGACG
rnacentral:rRNA from 1 species